GAUGAACGCUGGCGGCGUGCCUAAUACAUGCAAGUCGAGCGAACGGACGAGAAGCUUGCUUUUCUGAUGUUAGCGGCGGACGGGUGAGUAACACGUGGAUAACCUACCUAUAAGACUGGGAUAACUUCGGGAAACCGGAGCUAAUACCGGAUAAUAUUUUGAACCGCAUGGUUCAUAAGUGAAAGACGGUCUUGCUGUCACUUAUAGAUGGAUCCGCGCUGCAUUAGCUAGUUGGUAAGGUAACGGCUUACCAAGGCAACGAUGCAUAGCCGACCUGAGAGGGUGAUCGGCCACACUGGAACUGAGACACGGUCCAGACUCCUACGGGAGGCAGCAGUAGGGAAUCUUCCGCAAUGGGCGAAAGCCUGACGGAGCAACGCCGCGUGAGUGAUGAAGGUCUUCGGAUCGUAAAACUCUGUUAUUAGGUAAGAACAUAUGUGUAAGUAACUGUGCACAUCUUGACGGUACCUAAUCAGAAAGCCACGGCUAACUACGUG
rnacentral:rRNA from 1 species